rnacentral:rRNA from 1 species
AGUGAACGCUGGCGGUAGGCCUAACACAUGCAAGUCGAACGGCAGCACAGUAAGAGCUUGCUCUUACGGGUGGCGAGUGGCGGACGGGUGAGGAAUACAUCGGAAUCUACUUUUUCGUGGGGGAUAACGUAGGUAAACUUACGCUAAUACCGCAUCCGACCUACGGUUGAAAGCAGGGGAUCUUCGGACCUUGCGCGAUUGAAUGAGCCGAUGUCGGAUUAGCUAGUUGGCGGGGUAAAGGCCCACCAAGGCGACGAUCCGUAGCUGGUCUGAGAGGAUGAUCAGCCACACUGGAACUGAGACACGGUCCAGACGCCUAAGGGAGGCAGCAGUGGGGAAUAUGGGACAAUGGGCGCAAGCCUGAUCCAGCCAUACCGCGUGGGUGAAGAAGGCCUUCGGGUUGUAAAGCCCUUUUGUUGGGAAAGAAAAGCAGCAGGUUAAUACCACGCUGUUCUGACGGUACCCAAAGAAUAAGCACCGGCUAACUUCGUG